UGUGACGCACACAACGUCAUUUCUUGAUAACCAAAAUGGAGGACUACUCAUCCAAGCAAUCAGUUGAAAAUCUUGACAAUCCUCCUAACAGUCGGUUGUUUCUCGUAACAAGUCGAUCAGUUUCAGAUGAUGUUAUUCGAGAGAAAUUUUCUGUAUUUGGAGAGGUCCAAGGUGUAUGGGUCGUUAAGGACAAACAGACGAAAGAAUCGAAGGGGAUCUCCUAUGUUAAAUUCGCGAAGUCUUCGGAAGCAUGCACCGCCAUGGAGGACAUGCAUGGAAAAUGCCUGUUAGACGGAACGAAGCCCAUUAAGGUGUUCAUUGCCCAGUCAAGGUCCUCCGGUAGACACAGAGAUGUGGAGGAUGAAGAGCUCACCAGAAUAUUUGUAAAGAUUCCCAAAACGUUCACAGAAGAAGAUCUGAAAGACACGUUCAAGGAGUAUGGGGACAUAGAAUACUGUGUGAUCAUAAAGAAUAAAACCACGGGGGAGAGCAAAGGCUUGGGAUAUGUGAGGUAUCAUAAGCCAUCACAAGCAGCCAUUGCCAUUGAGAACUGUGAUAGAGCCUACAGGGCUGUUCUUGCUGAGCCCCGAAGCAAGAACUCAUCUGCAGAUAAUGACUAUCACAACAGUGGCAGAGCAGAGCACAUGUCAAGUGACCUGGGAAUGAACCCCUAUUCCUUUGGAGUGUCCGACCCUGGCAGUUAUGCCGUAACUGACUACCGAUCCAGUGACCUCAUCACCAGGUGCCUAAUGGUUUCCUCGAGAGCUAAUGUUACUCAGGAGCAGAUUUAUGGCCUCUUUGACCUCAUACCAGGGAUGGAUUACUGUGAGAUGCAGCGGGAUCAUUGUGGGCUCAACAAAGGACAUACUGUGAUUCGCUACAACAACCUGGGCUCUGCAGUCUAUGCCAAAGAGAAGCUGAAUGGCUUUGAGUAUCCCCCUGGAAACCGCCUCAUCGUGGCCCACAUAGAGGAUGGAGAAGACAGGACCAGUCCUGUCGGGAAGAUGGCAAUGCAGCUGGUUGCUGCUCAGAUGAUGUCAAUGGUGUGGAAUGGUCCUACCACCAGCCAGCAACUGAUGAAGAUGAAUACAGGUUACCGCACAGCCUCUCCGAUGCCCCGCGUCCAGACAGAUGUAUCACUUCCCUCUCUGAAGAACCUGGCACCCCCAGAUAGCCGGGUUAAGGAGCGUCUCUUUGUGGUCUUCAGCCCUGCACCUCUUCCCAUGGACGUCCUGGAAGAUGUCUUCUGUCGAUUUGGUUCCCUUGUGGAGGUGCACCUCGUGCCUGGGAGGAACGUAGGCUACAUGAAGUACGCAGAGAAAGAGAGUGCGGGCGACGCUAUGGCUGCCUUGCAUGGUAAAAUGGUGAACGGAGUGAGGAUGAAGGUGAUGCUGGCUGACCCGCCCAGGGAACCAAGGGAGGAGUCCCACAAGCGCCCGCGGACAUACUAGCCAAUUCCUAGGUAAAAGAGGUCCAUUGUCACUAUGUGAUGUUGAAGUUUGUCUCUGCUCAGCUGACAGACAGGAGAUACAGGAAUCCAUUCUGUUCCAAAUUAUGCUGAUGCCGUUGUAAGAACCUGGAGAUCUUCACUGGUUCUGAGGGAGGUGACGUUGCUACAAACAAUGCCUGGGACAGCUUCCAGCGCUACUGUUAUCUGGAGAACAGCCAGAGAGUGGUCAAGACAUCUGCCACAACUUCAUCUUUAGUGUGUCAGCUCUGCUGCACCUGGGUGCUAAAGAUUGAUCUGGCUUGCUGAUAACGUCUGAUCUGAUGAGACUCCCGAUGUGAUUUGACUCCUGUAUUAAUGACUUCAAUAAAACUUCCAAUGCCAAAUUGA